ensembl:lncRNA
AUGUCAGUGUGUUUUUUUGAAAUCGAUGGACCUCGUUUUUAUUGUCUUUUAGCGAGAAUGUUCAUCUGUUUUUGGUCUGAAGCUCACACCCGAGCUAUAUAUCAAUCCGCGCGUGUAGCGCGGAGUGUUUGCUCUCGUGGUCCCAGUACGAGCAGUGCAUCAUGGAGAGUUCCGGUUGACGGGAGCAAGCAAACUGCAGCCCUGUUCCGUUACCGGUGGACACGGGAGGGGCUGCAGCCGUGGCGGGACUCAGCUGCUGCGCGUGCGGGAGCGCAUGAGGGAAAUGAGAGACGCGGAGCAAAAAGUGCAUGCAGAGAUGUGAAAAUGGAGGAACGGAAAGAGGGAUUAAGAGGGAGGGAUGUUCUCCCUCUCCUACUGAGGCAGGUGGACAUCUACAAAGGAACACACACACAGAUACACAAGUGUCUAUGUGUGAUCAGUCUACAAAAAAAAUAAAUCCAAAUAAUGUUACACAUUAAAAUAAAAUGAACAAUUGGAAACAAAAUAAACAUACUUUAUAAUGUUAACAUUAUUUUAUAACACUCAAAUGCAUUUACACACAUGAAGAGAAAAUGACAGUUUCACAGUUGACAUGUUUAAAUCCUCAAAGUUAAUGGACCAAAAAUGUGUAGGUUUAACUCAGGUGAACAAGGUGUUUGUCUGAUGGGGCGUACUAUACCUGACACCCCUAUGCCCCGCAGUUGCCAAGCUACCAGAGAACGUUCUUGGCAGUACAAAAGCCUACAUGUGGGUGGCUAUGAAUUGUGGGAGAUCUUAUCGCAUCAUGGCUCCAUGACAACAAGAGACGUUAAUGCAGCCAUGACACUGCAACCGUGUCACACAGCUGUUUGACUUUUUACUAUUCUCUUCAUCUCCUCAUCUCUCUUACACUCAUCAUCCAUUCAUUAUUCAUCUUAAUAAUUCAUGUAGCAUUCUCUCUGGUAAAAGUGUCUCGUUUUGGAUCUUGGAACACUACAGGGGUUGUGGUGCAGUAUAGGUGUGAAAAUAUUGACAUUGACAUAAUACAGAAUUAAUGUUCAGUGCAUUGAAGCACUGGAGUUGUAGUAAAACAGUGUGACAAAAAGCAAUGAUUCAUUCAAGCAAGUGGAAGCGAGUGAGUAAAAUGUAUUUAUGAAGUGUGUUAUAGUUGUGCAUCUGGUUAUAAGUUUUCAUAUUUAUUUGCAUAUGUGAUUAAAGUGUGUGUGUGUGUGUGUGUGUGUGUGUGUGUGUGUGUGUGUGUGUGUGUGUGUGUGUGUGUGUGGUCUUUGCACACAGUGUGGAGUUGCUUCCUGCAGGAAAGGAAAAGUAAAACAGGACGUCUUCAAAUCCAUAGGGAAAAUGAUUCAAAACCUGUCUCAGACCUCCACACAAACCAUCUUGUUCCUUUCAUUCACUACAUCCCUCAGUCAUUCUGUCUAGAUCUUUCCAAAAACUCAAUAUGUUAUUCUUCAUCAUAAUGUAUCUUAUCGAUUAUGCCCCGUUUCCAUGUCCUGCUUUAAUUUAUGAUAAAACUGUCAAUAUGUGUUCCAAAGAAUGAUGUUCAUGCGUGCCACUUUAAACAGAGACACAACAUUUGGAGGUUUUAAGAAUAAAGGUUAAAGUGUGGUUGUUGCAUCAAUAAGCAGUAAAUUAGGAGUUUAUUGAGGCAAAAGUCAAUUAAUAGUUAGUUAAUAGUAAGAACUGGACCUUAAAAUAUAGUGGUA